GAUGACUCCCCCACAACCAGAAGGUGUAGUUCUGAGUGAAGGUGUGAAAGUGGACGAUGUUCAGUGUUGCACCGAAUGUCUCAGUCACAAAGUUUUCCUAUUGCCUGUCCUGGAGAAAUGGAACUUUGCUGGUUGGAAGGUCUUAGGACCCAGGAAGAGUGAAGCUUCCCCCAGGGGAACACAACAAUGGUUCUAUUUAAUAUGAGGAGACAGGACUAAGUCUGAAACCUCGGGGCAUUCUCUGGUGUUCUUGAGUGUUUCCAUGUAAAGGAAGUCAAGUAACUUGCCACAAAGCUUUGCCACAGAAGCAUCUGAAAAAGGAGGGGGCAGAACUAUUCAGAACUCAGAGGUUUCAGAACCAAAGAUGAGGCCGAGAAGAUUCCUGACCCGCUGAGGGCAAGGGAAGUUGCUACAAAAUGCACAUAACCACAGCCCGGGUCUUGCAAUCCAAGCCUGGCAAGGAUUCAGCAUGUCAAGGGCUUCAGGUCUGAAGGUCCAUGGCUGUCCUGAAUCCUGGAUAUCACCUUCUUGCCCAAAAAAGGAGGGACGAGGCUCAAACCGCAGCAGGCCACUCACAGAAAGGGACGAAACGUUGAGUGCGUGGCCUCCCUGACACCCAGACAAGACUUUGGGCCCAAAGCCAGGCUGCAGCUCUGGCCACUGACUCAGACCAGGGACGCCCCCAUGCAGGCCGGUGUCCCCUGGCCGCUCUUCUCCCUCCUGCCACCCUCUCUUCGGCUGCUUGUGUCAAUAAAAGGAAAACUGGCCAGUUCUCAGAGAAAAUGUAGCUUUAUUAUGACAUAGGAGAGACUACAAAGCACUGGGGGGGAGGAGGAGUGACACAGCUCCUCAAAAUGGAAGGGGAAAGGAAGAGUA
rnacentral:lncRNA from 10 species